rnacentral:rRNA from 1 species
AUUGAACGCUGGCGGCAGGCCUAACACAUGCAAGUCGAGCGGAUGAAGGGAGCUUGCUCCUGGAUUCAGCGGCGGACGGGUGAGUAAUGCCUAGGAAUCUGCCUGGUAGUGGGGGAUAACGUCCGGAAACGGGCGCUAAUACCGCAUACGUCCUGAGGGAGAAAGUGGGGGAUCUUCGGACCUCACGCUAUCAGAUGAGCCUAGGUCGGAUUAGCUAGUUGGUGGGGUAAAGGCCUACCAAGGCGACGAUCCGUAACUGGUCUGAGAGGAUGAUCAGUCACACUGGAACUGAGACACGGUCCAGACUCCUACGGGAGGCAGCAGUGGGGAAUAUUGGACAAUGGGCGAAAGCCUGAUCCAGCCAUGCCGCGUGUGUGAAGAAGGUCUUCGGGUUGUAAAGCACUUUAAGUUGGGAGGAAGGGCAGUAAGUUAAUACCUUGCUGCUUUGACGUUACCAACAGAAUAAGCACCGGCUAACUUCGUG